rnacentral:tRNA from 1 species
GCCGAGGUGGUGAAAUGGCAGACACGUAGCCUUUAGGAGGCUAUGACCGAAAGGUCGUGCGAGUUCAACUCUCGCCCUCGGCA